GGCAAAGACCUAAAAGGACGUAGAUUUUUACCAGUCAUGAGGUAAACCACCUAGUAAAAAUUGGCGAAAGUACGCCAUAAGAGCUUGCUAAGCGCUGCAUAACUAAUUUAGUAACAAAUGGUUUGGCUCAAAAAUAUACAUUUUUUGGAUCUCAAAUAAAAUCUGCUCUCCUCCAAUUUAAGUUUUGGGACUAAUUGAAUGCUGCAAUCGUUCGUCAAAAUUCUGAGGUCACGACGAAAGUGACCGAAAAAAACGUUCAGAAUUGGUUAAGGCGAGCGAAUGAGCGCCUAAAAUUUUGACGGCAAUCGACUAAUUCCUUGUGGUUUUGUUACUGGUUUUUCG